rnacentral:lncRNA from 1 species
CCAAAGUCACGGUAUUGCCGUGGUGUUCCUGAUCCCAAGAUCAGGAUUUAUGACGUGGGAAUGAAGAAAAAGGGAGUUGAUGAGUUCCCUUUUUGUGUGCACUUGGUUAGUUGGGAGAAGGAAAAUGUUUCAAGUGAGGCUUUGGAAGCUGCUAGAAUUGCUUGCAACAAGUACAUGACCAAGUAUGCUGGGAAAGAUGCCUUCCAUCUGAGAGUCAGGGUGCACCCAUUCCAUGUCUUGCGUAUCAACAAGAUGCUUUCCUGUGCUGGAGCCGAUAGGCUUCAAACUGGAAUGAGGGGUGCUUUUGGUAAGCCUCAAGGGACAUGCGCUAGGGUGAGCAUUGGACAGGUCCUUUUGUCUGUUCGAUGCAAGGAUGGAAACAGCCAUCAUGCACAGGAGGCUCUCCGUCGUGCAAAAUUCAAGUUCCCUGGCCGUCAAAAGAUCAUUGUCAGCAGGAAGUGGUAUGUGCAGUUUUUAUUAUUUAAGUUCCAUAAACUGCUUAAAGAAGCUUAGACAUCAUUUUUGCCCAACAUAUCACAUGGCCUGUUCCAAAAAUCAGUAAAUAUACCUUUGGUUCAGUAAGUUAUACACAUUGAUACCAUGUACGAUGUAUUUUACUUUUGUGUCUAAGCUAGGACAGAUUAGGUGAAUGGUUCACUGUUCAGUAUCACAAAUUGCAAUACAUAUUUCCAUUAACAUCUAACAGGAAGUGUUUAAACUCUUUUAAAGAAAAUUGUCUACAAACAUCAUAUCUAUAUUCUAUAGCUACCUUUAUUCACCCUUUAUCACCUGCACAAAAACCCAAGGUCAACAUAGUUAACUUGCACCUUAUUUCCUGUGCAUCAAAGCCAAGACCUAGACCUGGAUACUGUGUUUUUUGUACUCCUAAGAGUAGCUCUAGAAAUAUAUAUAUUUCAACCUUUUAGUGAGUGAUUUAAUCCAUGGAAUCAUUGUGCUUUUGGGAUUUUUAAAUUGUAACUCCAGCUUAUUCAUCCUCUGAUAAACCUUCCAUGUUUGAUGUGGAAAUGUAAAAUUUAUUCAAUUUAUUAUUAUGUUGAGAAAGAGCGGGGAAAAGGGGGUGGGAUUGGGUUAAUUUGUGGAAGUGUGUAAUUGGUUUACUUUGAGUGUAGAUCUUUGCUUAGGUGGUGUUUGUUUUUUUACUUUACUCUAAAUAGAACUUUAAUGCUUAAUAGUAUUAAGUGUUAGGAUGUUUGUUUUUGUAAUAUUUUAUUUCUACUAAGUAUUAAAAAGUAAAGAAAAAUCAACAUGUUUCUUUUUCCAUUUAGAAAAAGCCAAAUAUUUUGUUUUUUCUAUUCAGCAAAAAGUUUAUAAUAAGUAAAAAAAAGUAGAAAUUACUUAUCAAAAAAAAAAAAAAAAGUAGAAAAACAAACAACCUAAAGUCUGAAAGCAAAUUGCUUUUAGUAUAAAGUUAAAAAAACAAACACCCUCUUAGUCUUUUUGUUUAAUGAGUGAUUGAAUCCUGGAUGUCCCUCAGCCUUGUGAGAGUUGCAUCUACUCACCUAACUAAUUCAUAAUGUUUUGGAAUUUUUUUUCUGUUGGUGGGUAGAAAUUGAAACAGUUCUGUGUCAAGUUCAGAGUUUUUACUAUAAGGUGGUACUUCUUUUUUUCUUUCUUUUAACUUAAAUUUACCUCUAAAUACAAAUUAAUAGUCUAAAUCUUAAGUUGUUUGUUUUAUCACAAUGAGAGUUCCGUGUGAGGUCGGGGGUUAGAAGUGUGAAUCAGCUAACUUUUUAGUUUAGGAAAAAAGUCACAUAUUUUAGUUUUUUCUAUUCAGUUAAGAAUAUUGGUAAACAAGUUAAAAGUUCAAUAAAUAAAUAAAAAUAAACAACUUAAGUCUGAAAGUAAAUUGCAUUCAGCAUGAAGUUAGAAAAGCAAACCCCCCUUAAGGUUAGGAGUUUGAUUGGUUUGCUCUGAAUAAUGUUAAAUCUUCAUCAAAUGUUCUUCGCUUAGUGUAUGGUUGAACCUUGGACGCACUUUUGCCUAGUUGUAGCUGUUGCUGCAGCUCAGGGUCACCAACUCUUUUUUUGCUCAUUAAAUAAUUGAGCCAAUGAGCAUUUGCCUUGUGAACCUGCAUUUUUUUUUUUUUGGGUUUUUUCUUUUUGGUUGUUGGAUGAAUUGAAGUGACUUAUCUUACUGUCUGUGACAUGUUAUCAGGGGUUUCACAAAGUUCAACAGAACUGAUUACAUCAAGUGGAAGUCUGAGAACCGGAUUCUCCCUGAUGGUGUCAAUGCCAAGGUUUGCCUCUGCAAUAUUUAGCCAAAUAUAGUUCUCAGCUUUUCUUUCUUUACAUCAGGCAGGUGGUGUGUUUGGUUUGUGAUAAACUUAUGGCGCUUCUUAUUUGAAUCUUGCAGCUUCUCGGAUGCCAUGGACCUCUAGCAAAUCGUCAGCCUGGAAAAGCAUUUAUAAAUGCAUGCACCUAGGCCUUGCUUGAAAAUACCAGAAUUAUGUGUUAAACAUUUUGGUCUACUUCCUUAGCACUUGAGCAUUUAUGAAGAACCUAGUACCUAGCUUCCUUUCUU